rnacentral:rRNA from 1 species
UACAGAGGUGGCAAGCGUUGUUCGGAAUUACUGGGCGUAAAGGGCUCGUAGGCGGCCAACUAAGUCAGACGUGAAAUCCCCAGGCUCAACCUGGGAACUGCGUCUGAUACUGGUAGGCUUGAAUCCGGGAGAGGGAUGCAGAAUUCCAGGUGUAGCGGUGAAAUGCGUAGAUAUCUGGAGGAAUACCGGUGGCGAAGGCGGCAUCCUGGACCGGCAUUGACGCUGAGGAGCGAAAGCCAGGGGAGCAAACGG